GGACUACCGGGGUAUCUAAUCCCGUUUGCUCCCCCAGCUUUCGUCCCUCACUGUCGAAGCUGUUCUGGUAAACUGCCUUCGCCAUAGGUCGUCCCUCGAGGAUUACAAGAUUUCACUCCUACCCCCGAAGUACGGUUUACCUCUCCCAGUUCCAAGACUGCCGGUAUCUCUUAGACGCCUUCACGUUGAGCGUGAAGAUUUCCCAAGAGACCUAACAGUCAAGCUACGGACGCUUUAAACCCAGUAAUAGUGGCCAUCACUCGAGCGGCGGCUGGCACCGGUCUUGCCCUGCCCUUUCUUCACAUAUGAUUUAGAUAUAUGAACAGCCUGCAUCGACAGGCACUCAGGGUUUCCUUAUCACGAUUGCUCGCAUUGUAAAGUUUGCGCGCCUGCUGCCCCCCGUAGG
rnacentral:rRNA from 1 species